rfam:Euryarchaeota archaeon AMET1 AMET1_2, whole genome shotgun sequence.
CCCGCCUUAGCUCAGUUUGGUAGAGCGGUCGGCUGUAGAACCUUGCAGACACCGACUGGUCCUCCGUUCAAAUCGGAGAGGCGGGA